AGAGUUUGAUCCUGGCUCAGAACGAACGCUGGCGGCAGGCUUAACACAUGCAAGUCGAGCGCCCCGCAAGGGGAGCGGCAGACGGGUGAGUAACGCGUGGGAACAUACCCUUUGGUUCGGAAUAACUCAGGGAAACUUGAGCUAAUACCGGAUACGUCCGUAAGGAGAAAGAUUUAUCGCCAAAGGAUAGGCCCGCGUCCGAUUAGCUAGUUGGUGAGGUAACGGCUCACCAAGGCUACGAUCGGUAGCUGGUCUGAGAGGAUGAUCAGCCACAUUGGGACUGAGACACGGCCCAAACUCCUACGGGAGGCAGCAGUGGGGAAUAUUGGACAAUGGGCGCAAGCCUGAUCCAGCCAUGCCGCGUGAGUGAUGAAGGCCUUAGGGUUGUAAAGCUCUUUUGUCCGGGAAGAUAAUGACUGUACCGGAAGAAUAAGCCCCGGCUAACUUCGUG
rnacentral:rRNA from 1 species